CCUACGGGGGGCAGCAGUGGGGAAUAUUGCACAAUGGGGGAAACCCUGAUGCGGCAACGCCGCGUGAGUGAAGAAGUAUUUCGGUAUGUAGAGCUCUGUCAGCAGGGAAGAAAGAAAUGACGGUACCUGACCAAGAAGCCCCGGCUAACUACGUGCCAGCAGCCGCGGUAAUACGUAGGGGGCAAGCGUUAUCCGGAAUUACUGGGUGUAAAGGGAGCGUAGACGGUGAUGCAAGUCUGGAGUGAAAGGCGGGGGCACAACCCCCGGACUGCUCUGGAAACUGUAUGACUUGAGUGCAGGAGAGG
rnacentral:rRNA from 1 species